UACGUAGGUGGCAAGCGUUGUCCGGAUUUACUGGGUGUAAAGGGCGUGCAGCCGGGCUGACAAGUCAGAUGUGAAAUCCCGCGGCUCAACCGCGGAACUGCAUUUGAAACUGUCAGUCUUGAGUACCGGAGAGGUCAUCGGAAUUCCUUGUGUAGCGGUGAAAUGCGUAGAUAUAAGGAAGAACACUAGUGGCGAAGGCGGAUGACUGGACGGCAACUGACGGUGAGGCGCGAAAGCGUGGGGAGCAAACAGG
rnacentral:rRNA from 1 species